AACUGCGGGGAGGGGCGGAGCCAGGGGAGGAGUUUUAGCUGGAGCCGUUGGCGUCCCUUUUGGGAUUGAGCAAGUCAGAGCUGGGAGCGGGUUCGGCUUGGGAGAGCAAGGUUUGAGACCAAGCCCACUUCUCGGGCUGAGACUGCAGGACUUCGGCCUCCGCAAAGGCCGAGCAGGGCUGGGCGAGGGGCGGAGUUUUAAGCCCAGCCCUCGGGUUCUAGUCUCUGAUUGAACGCGAUAGGUCUUGGGGCGGGGCUGGGGCGGAAUCCCGUUCUACAUUUGACAGCUCUCUAACACAGCUGCAGCCGAGUCCUGUGGGUUCAGGAACCUGUGGCCCGGCUCUCCGCGCGUCCCCGUUCCCCGCGUGGCUCCGGCCCCGGCCAUGAAGCGCAUCUUCUCCUGCUCCAGCUCACAGGUGGCGGUGGAGAGAUGGAACCGCCGUGAUCAGAAGCUGCUGGAGGCGGUGCAGCGGGGGGACGUGGGACGCGUGGCUGCCCUGGCCUCCAGGAAAUCUGCCCGACCCACUAAGCUAGACUCGAACGGCCAGUCCCCGUUUCAUCUGGCCGCCUCCAAAGGCCUGACAGAAUGUCUGACUAUACUACUUGCCAAUGGGGCUGACAUCAACAGCAAGAAUGAGGACGGAAGCACCGCCCUGCACUUGGCCACCAUUUCUUGCCAGCCACAAUGUGUCAAGGUCCUGCUGCAGCAUGGUGCCAAUGAAGACGCUGUAGAUGCAGAAAAUCGAAGUCCAUUGCACUGGGCAGCCUCCUCUGGCUGUGCCUCAAGUGUGCUCCUCUUGUGUGAUCAUGAAGCCUUCCUGGAUGUCCUGGAUAAUGAUGGACGUACACCCCUGAUGAUUGCCUCGCUGGGCGGUCACACAGCUAUCUGCUCACAGCUACUGCAGAGAGGUGCCCGGGUCAAUGUCACCGACAAGAAUGACAAAUCGGCUCUGAUCCUGGCCUGUGAAAAAGGCAGUGCUGAGGUGGCUGAGCUGCUCCUGAGCCAUGGAGCAGAUGCGGGGGCAGUGGACAGCACGGGGCAUGAUGCUCUGCAUUAUGCCCUACGCACACAAGACAGGACGCUGUGGAGGCUGCUGCGGCAGGCCCUGACCCGGCAGGGCCGAGGGGGUCAGGGGCCAGUUCAACACCUGAAUCCUGCAUCCCAGACCUCUCCCUCUGAGCCUCAGGUGGGUGAUCCACCUAAGAGCCCAUGGAGAGCAGAGCCUGAGGAGGAGCAGGAGGAAGAAGAGGACGAGGAUCCAUGUUCAGAGGAGUGGAAGUGGAAGUAUGAAGAGGAGAAGAGAAAAGUUUCUCAGUUGGAGCAGGAGCUGCUGCGAAAGAGGGAAGAGUGCAAGGCUCAAGCUACAGCUUACCUGGGCCUGGAGAAUCAGAUACAAGAACAGGUGCGGGAGCUGGGGCUCCUCCUGUCCCAAGAGCCCAGAGCUCCAGGGAACCAGGGCUCUAGUCUCCGGCCUGGAGGAGAUGGCAUGGAACAGGAUUGUGCCCUCAACCUGCUGGCUAAGCACAUACAAGAGCUGAAGAAGCAUCAGCAGGCCACAGCUGCAGCGGCAGCCAACCCAGUAUUAGCUUCCAAGAAGGCUGAGGAUUCAGUCCCAGGGGAGAUCCAGUAUGAAGCCCAGGGAAGGUCCCAACCAGAAGAACAGGAGCCACCCCAGAGCCCAAAGUCUGAAACUGUAGGGAAAACCACGGGACAGCAACUGACCAACAGUGAUGGGCAGGCCCUUCGCCUUGAUCAUACUGACCAGCUGUUUGCUGGCCAGAAGGAGAGGCCCCAGGCUCCAGGGUCUGAACCCACAAGCACAGUGACUGAGCCAGUGGGCACAGCAGCCAUGAAUCAGCUCCUGCUACAGCUGAGGGAGGAGCUGGCUGCGGUGUGGCGAGAAAAGGAUGCAGCCCGGGGGGCUUUAUCAAGAUCUGUCUUGGAGGGAGCUCUGGGGACACCCCGGGCUGAGGCUGCAGCAGCUGCCUGGGAGAAGAUGGAGGCCAGGUUGGAGCAGGUGCUGGUGAGACUGGAUCGAGCAAAAGCAGGAUUGCAGAUGAAACCCAAGGCCCCUGCCCAGGAGCCCAGAGAGGAAGCACCCAAGGCACUCCCAGGGACCAUCACCCAAGAGGAUGAAGAAAAGGAGAAAAGGGUCCCCGGGGUCCGGGGAGAGCCUCUAGGGGCUCCUGGAGGGGACCAGAUGCCAGGAGGAGGCCAGGCCAGGGGACAGCUGGAGAAGGAGGUGUCCGCCCUGAGACUGAGCAACAGUAACUUGCUGGAGGAGCUGGGGGAGCUGGGCCGGGAGCGGCAGCGGUUGCAGGGGGAGCUGCAGUCCCUGAGCCAGCGGCUACAGCGGGAGUUUGUGCCCAGGCCGGAGGCGCAGGACCAGCUACAGCAGUUGCGGAGGAGUGUGGGGCUGCUGACAGAUGAACUGGCCCUGGAGAAGCAGGCCACCGAGAAGCUGCGGAAGCGCUUGGCCUCCCAGAACAGAGGCCUCCAGGGGCUGUGGGACUGCCUGCCCCCAGACCUGGUAGGCCAGGGGAGUGCACGGAGCGCAGCCGCCGAGCCCCUCGAAGACCUGCAGGCCUGCAUCAGUGCCUUGGUGGCCAGGCACCGCGAGGCCCAGCAGGGGCUGGCUCGGCUGGAAGAGGAAAACCAGCAGCUGCGGGGCUCCCCUUCCCGCCGCGGGGAGCCAGGCGUCUCCUCGGAGGCCUCUGCCUCCCCGCAGGUGGCGGCUCUGGAGCAAGACCUGGGGAAGCUGGAGGAAGAGCUGCGGGCCGUUCAGGCCACGAUGAGCGGGAAGAGCCAGGAGAUCUGGAAGCUGAAGCAGCUGCUCUACCAAGCCACCGAGGAAGUGGAGGAGCUGAGGGCCCGGGAGGCGGCCAGCCUGCGGCAGCACGAGAAAACUCGGGGCUCCCUGGUGGCCCAGGCCCAGGCUUGGGGCCAGGAGCUAAAGGCUUUGCUGGAAAAGUAUAACACGGCCUGCCGGGAGAUGGGUCGGCUGCGGGAGGCGGCGGCAGAGGAGCGGCGCCGGAGCGGGGAUCUGGCCGCGCGCGCCGCGGAGCACGAGCACCAGGCCAGCGAGAUGCGCGGACGCUCCGAACAGUUCGAGAAGACAGCGGAGCUGCUCAAAGAGAAGGUGGAGCAUCUCAUCGGGGCUUGCCGGGACAAGGAGGCUAAGAUCAAGGAAUUGUUGAAGAAGCUGGAGCAGCUUUCAGAGGAGGUUCUAGCUGUUCGGGGAGAUAAUGCUUGCCUUGCUCUACAGCUGCAGGAUUCCCAGAAGAACCAUGAAGAGAUCAUCUCUACCUAUAGGAAGCAUCUGCUGAAUGCUGCUCAGGGCUACAUGGAACAGGACGUGUAUAAUAUCCUCCUGCGAAUCCUCAGCAUACAGGAGUGAGGCAACCCGUGUCCUGAAGAAUAUGGGAUCUCUCUGUUGCAGCUGGCUAUCUUCUCCAGUCCGGAUAGGGAACAGAGCAUCCUGGUUGGCAGAGGCUCCAUCAGGCUGUGGUGGGUGGUGGGUUGGCCACUGGAGGUGGUGUGGGUGGAGCUUCACCUGACAUUAUGGACCCCAGACCUGAGAACUUGAACCCUGGAAUCAGCAUGGGUGAGAUCAGAGGAGGUGUGGGUGGAAGCCAGCUCUAUGGAGAAUAAAGCAGGAGGCAGGAUGG